GUGUUUACUGUGUUACGUUUUUUGAGGUGUAAGGUUUAUCAAUUUGGCUUUUAACCCUGUAAAUAGUCAUCUAACCACAGUUCAUUUUGAAUAACCUUAGUUUGCAGUUUUCAUUCGUCAUAAAAAAUCAAAAAUAAAACACAUUCGUACUGAAAAAAACAGAUGUAUUUGGCUUCUUACGUGUGAACGGGAAGAGUAUGUAUCACUAUGGCUUUAAUUUGUUAAAAUUAUUUUCACUAAGUAAAUAACUGCCAUAGUUUGAUUCAUAUUUAAUCAAAUUUAUUUUUUACUCAUGCCUUUUCUAUAAUCAUUGUUUGCGGUCCAACGAUUUACAGAAAAGAGCGACGAUUUAAAGAAAAGAAAAGCAAAGGACCGAAAAGGAUAAAAAAAGAACAGAAAAGGAACACAAAAGAGCAUACAUAUAAAUCAUGUAAAUAUAUAUACACGAACUUUUGAUUUAGUUAACAAUGUAUCGUAUAAAUGAACGCAC
rnacentral:lncRNA from 1 species